GACAGAGGUGCCGAGCGUUAGGCGGAAUCACUGGGCUUAAAGCGUGUGUAGGCGGAUCGUUAAGUACCUUGUGAAAUCCCACGGCUUAACCGUGGAACUGCUGGGUAUACUGGCGAUCUUGAGCCACCUAGGGGCAACCGGAACAAAUGGUGGAGCGGUGAAAUGCGUAGAUAUCGGAAAGAACACCAACGGCGAAAGCACUCUGCUGGGCCGACACUGACACUGAGAGACGAAAGCUAGGGGAGCGAAUGGG
rnacentral:rRNA from 1 species